rnacentral:rRNA from 1 species
GAUGAACGCUGGCGGCGUGCCUAAUACAUGCAAGUCGAGCGAAGCGGGGACGGGUGAGUACCACGUGUAUACCCUCCUAUAAGACUGGGAUCCCUUCGGGAAACCGGAUCUCAACCCGAUCCUUAUAGAUGGAUCCGCGCUGCAUUAGCUAGUUGGUAAGGUAACGGCUUACCAAGGCAACGAUGCAUAGCCGACCUGAGAGGGUGAUCGGCCACACUGGAACUGAGACACGGUCCAGACUCCUACGGGAGGCAGCAGUAGGGAAUCUUCCGCAAUGGGCGAAAGCCUGAUGGAGCAACGCCGCGUGAGUGAUGAAGGUCUUCGGAUCGUAAAACUCUGUUAUUAGGGAAGCGGUACCUAAUGAGAAAGCCACGGCUAACUACGUGCCAGCAGCCGCGGUAAUAC